rnacentral:rRNA from 1 species
UACGUAGGGUGCGAGCGUUGUCCGGAAUUAUUGGGCGUAAAGGGCUCGUAGGCGGUUUGUCGCGUCGGGAGUGAAAACACCGGGCUUAACUCGGUGCUUGCUUCCGAUACGGGCAGACUAGAGGUAUGCAGGGGAGAACGGAAUUCCUGGUGUAGCGGUGAAAUGCGCAGAUAUCAGGAGGAACACCAGUGGCGAAGGCGGUGCUCUGGGCCGGAACUGACGCUGAGGAGCGAAAGCGUGGGGAGCAAACAGG